rnacentral:tRNA from 1 species
GGGGCAUUAGCUCAGUCUGGAUAGAGCGCUGGUCUCCGGAACCAGAGGUCACAGGUUCGAAUCCUGUAUGUCCCCCCA